rnacentral:rRNA from 1 species
CUUUGGUCAAGCUACUAAGGGUGCACGGUGGAUGCCUUGGCGCAGAGAGGCGAUGAAGGACGCGGCCAGCUGCGAUAAGCCUCGGGGAGCUGCAAACAGGCUUUGAUCCGAGGAUUUCCGAAUGGGAAAACCCGGCGGAGGUCAUGCUCCGCCAUUCCGGAGUGAACACAUAGCUCCGUGAAGGCCAACGGGGGGAAGUGAACCAUCUCAGUACCCCUAGGAAGAGAAAGCAAUAUGCGAUUCCGUCAGUAGCGGCGAGCGAACGCGGAACAGCCCAAACCAGGCGGGCGUCAAGUCUGCAAGCGUUGUCCGCCUGGUGUCGUGGGGCAUUGCACGAUCCCGUUGCAGCGGGAUCAGAGAGUGACAAAUCGGUCGUCUAGUCGAAGGUUCCUGGAACGGACCGCCACAGAGGGUGACAGCCCCGUAGGCGAAAGGCGAGCGACUCUCGAGCGAUGUUCCCAAGUACCACGGGACACGAGAAACCCUGUGGGAAUUCGGGUGGACCAUCACCCAAGGCUAAAUACUCCUCUGCGACCGAUAGUGAACCAGUACCGUGAGGGAAAGGUGAAAAGUACCCCUGCCUAGGGGAGUGAAACAGUACCUGAAACCGUGCAUCUACAAGCAGUGGGAGCGCUAUGGCUCGCCUCGGCGAGUCCCGCGCGACCGCGUGCCUUUUGCAUAAUGAGCCGGCUAGUUACCGUCGCUGGCAAGGCGAAGCGUCUUGCAUAGCCGUAGCGAAAGCGAGUCUGAACAGGGCGAUUCAGUCAGCGGUGGUAGACGCGAAACGAGGUGAUCUACCCAUGGCCAGGGUGAAGCUGAGGUAACACUCAGUGGAGGCCCGAACCAAUGUUGGUUGAAAACGGCUUGGAUGAGCCGUGGGUAGGGGUGAAAGGCUAAUCAAACCUCGUUAUAGCUCGUUCUCCUCGAAAUAGCUUUAGGGCUAGCCUCGCGGAUUGCAUCGCGGAGGUAGAGCACUGGAUGGACUAGGGGGCCCAAAAGCUUACCGAAUCCAACCAAACUCCGAAUGCCGUGAAUGUGGACCGCGGGAGUCAGACUACGGGGGAUAAGCUCCGUGGUCGAGAGGGAAACAACCCAGAUCGCCAGCUAAGGUCCCCAAGUGUCAGCUAAGUGGGAAAGGAUGUGGAGACGUCCAGACAGCCAGGAGGUUGGCUUAGAAGCAGCCAUCCUUUAAAGAAAGCGUAACAGCUCACUGGUCAAGUGGCUCCGUGCCGAUAAUUCAACGGGGCUUAAGCUGAUCACCGAAGCUGCGGAUCCGGCGAGCCUGCGGGCCCGCCGGAUGGUAGAGGAGCAUUCUGAGGGCGCUGAAGUCGGAUCGUGAGAACCGAUGGAGCGCUCAGAAGAGACCCUGCCGGCACAAGUAGCGACAAAGCAGGUGAGAACCCUGCUCGCCGUAAGUCUAAGGUUUCCUGAGGAAGGCCAAUCCGCUCAGGGUUAGUCGGCCCCUAAGGCGAGGCUGAAAAGCGUAGUCGAUGGGAAACAGGUCAACAUUCCUGUACCGUUCCGCUCUCGUUACGACGAUGGGGUGACGCAGGAGGAUAGAUGAGCCUACGAUUGGAAGUGUAGGUUGAAGCGUGUAGGCGGGAGCUGUAGGAAAAUCCGCGGCUCCUUAACGCUGAGACGUGAUCCCGAGGGCCUCGGCCCGCAAAGUCGUCGAUUCCAUGCUGCCAGGAAAAACCCCUAAGCAGAGUGCGGGGCGACCGUACCGCAAACGGACACACGUAGACGGGGAGAGAAUCCCAAGGCGCUUGAGUGAUCCCCUGUGAAGGAACUCGGCAAAUUGACACCGUAACUUCGGGAGAAGGUGUGCCGCCGGCGGUGAUGAGGCUUGCCCUCUGAGCUGCUGGUGGUCGCAGUGAAAUGGCCCAGGCGACUGUUUACUAAAAACACAGGACUCUGCUAAGUCGAACACGACGUAUAGGGUCUGACGCCUGCCCGGUGCCGGAAGGUUAAGAGGAAGUGUUAGCAGGCCUUCGGGUCCGCGAAGCUCUGAAUUGAAGCCCCGGUAAACGGCGGCCGUAACUAUAACGGUCCUAAGGUAGCGAAAUUC